GCGACCCAGGUCAGGUGGGACUA
rnacentral:rRNA from 1 species